ACCAUGGCUACAAGAGUCAUGCCCCACAAUGAACAACCAUAUUCCAUGUUGGUGAAAAGCAGUGGGAGUGCUGCAAACACGAAAGGCUGAAUAGUUCCCCAAUGGUUUCUGAAGGCUGGAGAGGACCAGUAGCUGCCUAGUCCAAGAAGCUGGAAUCUUCAGAACAGGAGACACCAACAGUGCAGCCCCAGUUUGAGUUACAAACUGGCACCCUAACUCUCCUCGGUGGCUGGGAAGGUCCUCCAGGGGCAGCUUGGCCCAACUGAGCAGACAGGAUGCAGAAUAAGGCAUCAGGUCCAAGUUCCAGCCAUCGUAUCCCUUCCGUGAGUUAUGUGACCUUUUACAGGACACCCAGAAAAUCUCGAAAAUGGCCAGAAGAGACAUACAGAAUCUACGAUCCUUUUUCCUUGGGGGUCCAGUCCUUCUUCAAAGACAUCGGAAAACAAUGGAUUGACCCAGAAACUACAUGCUGCCUGAGGAGCUUCUAUCCCCAGAGAUCUUGCUUAUACUGUGCCACAACCCAGACCUUCUUCACAGGAACAGAGACAAUCAGGCAGGGUGACACAGCUUUAGUUUCAGGCUACUGUGCCACCCAUAGAACAGCAUACAGUUGGUGCCGUCGUCCUGAUUAGACGCUUAGUGGGAUCCACCUCAACUGGUUCCCCGUACAUUCCUUGGGAUGUUUCUUGAUCCACUUGUUUUGCCACACUCCCACAGUGCCCCGACCUGGAUUUGGUCCUCCGGACUACAGUCUCUCCCGCUGGCUAUACUGGAUUGCGACAUUUUUAGAAUCAUUAGAGCCCUCAUAUCAUUUGAGACCUGAAGUUUGAUGGCUAUAUACACCCAGAUUAAAGGUUGCUAAGUUUAGGCUGUUAACAAAUCCACAACCAGCUUAUAAAUGUACUCCUAAUGUUUAUGUUCCUCUCACUAGCCCGGGGUCAUUACAGGAUUUGGCCAUUAAAGUAGUAUUACAACCUACUAGGGAAACAAUAAAAUUAGAACUACUGGCUCAAGACUACCAUCAUUGACAUAAAAAAUGCCAAACCCGACCAAACACCUAUGCCCAUAACUUUAAAAAUAAUGUUUCUUUCUAGGAUCCUCAUCGUCCCAGUUCAGCAGGAAGCAUUUCUUGAGGACGCAGCCCCUAAUCCCCAAGAUUGGACAUUAACAGUUGCUUGAGAAGGGGGAAAUGAGGAGCCAGAGUUUCUCUUAUCUUUACUAAGGCCAAAGUCCUUCCAUUUUAACUAAUUUAGAAUAAACUUCAGUAACACCACUCUUCCCCUCCUUAACCAUUAUUUAGAUUGUUCCAUCAGAUAAAUGGGAAAUAGAUGAAUAAAACCCAUUCCCCUCCGCAGAAGACAUGGUCUGCUAGAACAAAGAAGCAGGAUGUUCUGCUAAGAUAAGAACGGGCUGUAGUGAUCAGUUGAAUAAGGCAAAUUCCAUUCCACAGACCUCAUCUGCACACA